rnacentral:rRNA from 1 species
GAUGAACGCUGGCGGCGUGCCUAAUACAUGCCAGUCGAGCGAACAGACGAGGAGCUUGCUCCUCUGACGUUAGCGGCGGACGGGUGAGUAACACGUGGAUAACCUACCUAUAAGACUGGGAUAACUUCGGGAAACCGGAGCUAAUACCGGAUAACAUGUUGAACCGCAUGGUUCAACAGUGAAAGACGGUUUUGCUGUCACUUAUAGAUGGAUCCGCGUCGCAUUAGCUAGUUGGUAAGGUAACGGCUUACCAAAGCAACGAUGCGUAGCCGACCUGAGAGGGUGAUCGGCCACACUGGAACUGAGACACGGUCCAGACUCCUACGGGAGGCAGCAGUAGGGAAUCUUCCGCAAUGGGCGAAAGCCUGACGGAGCAACGCCGCGUGAGUGAAGAAGGUCUUCGGAUCGUAAAACUCUGUUAUUAGGGAAGAACAAAUGUGUAAGUAACUAUGCACGUCUUGACGGUACCUAAUCAGAAAGCCACGGCUAACUACGUG